AAGUCCGGUAGCGAAGAAGAAGGAUAACUUUGCUAACAAACAUGCCGGAGGCACACAAACGAAAACGAAUCGACAACAUGAAUGUGGUAGAUCAUCUAUUGGAGCACAGAUUUGAAACCCUUAGUCUGGAGGAAAAAUUAGAGGACACUGCUUAGGCCUAUAGGAGGUGUACUCCAUGGUAAAAUGAUAUUGGGUUUUUAUAGGAGCUCUUACAGCUGUUUGCAGUAGUAUCAUUUUAUUCUGAGGUUUACG
ensembl:lncRNA